UGGGGAAUAUUGCACAAUGGGCGCAAGCCUGAUGCAGCCAUGCCGCGUGUAUGAAGAAGGCCUUCGGGUUGUAAAGUACUUUCAGCGGGGAGGAAGGCGAUAAGGUUAAUAACCUUGUCGAUUGACGUUACCCGCAGGAGAAGCACCGGCUAACUCCGUGCCAGCAGCCGCGGUAAUACGGAGGGUGCAAGCGUUAAUCGGAAUUACUGGGCGUAAAGCGCACGCAGGCGGUCUGUCAAGUCGGAUGUGAAAUCCCCGGGCUCAACCUGGGAACUGCAUUCGAAACUGGCAGGCUAGAGUCUUGUAGAGGGGGGUAGAAUUCCAGGUGUAGCGGUGAAAUGCGUAGAGAUCUGGAGGAAUACCGGUGGCGAAGGCGGCCCCCUGGACAAAGACUGACGCUCAGGUGCGAAAGCGUGGGGAGCAAACA
rnacentral:rRNA from 1 species